ensembl:lncRNA
UGCGAGAGGAGCUGGUUCGAAGGCAGACCCAGCAGGCCUCACUCCAUACCCUGUGGGCCCAGCUGCAGCCCGAGCACACAGACGACAGUGACGAGGCCCAGGAGAAACUGCACGUGACCGGCAGCAAGAUGAAGAUCCUAAAGAGGGAGGUGACUGAAGACCUCAAGGAAAUACAGCAGCGGCUGGAGAAUGAGCCUACAUGUGACGAACAAGACCAAAGAGUAUCUACGGAGCCUUCAGAGGGAGUGGUGCAGUCAAUGAGGAAAUCUUUCAGUUCAAGAGAGAGGAAGGACCCAGCCCAGCCGAGGUCAUUCUUCCUCCGUCUGCUCCGCGCGGCCUUCCCCCUGCACCUCCUCCUGCUGCUGCUCCUCCUGCUGCCCUGCCUGGUCCCCAUGUCGCCCCCUGAACAGAGCUGCACAGUGGCCAACAACUUCGCACGCUCCUUCUACCCAAUGCUACGCUACACCAACGGACCUCCUCCGACAUGACACAUCGAUAAGAAAAUAUUCACACAGAUGUGAAAUACUGUCAUCCUAAGACAAUGUUGGUUCAGACCGGACUGUAUUGACUGGAGUGUAAAAGAGCGAUAAUUUACAAUAUUGUUUAUAAAGUCAAACCAAGCUUUAGAAAUUCUGAAAGAAAGUGUUAACCAUUAACAGAACAGCUCAAAUUUGGGUUUCAUUUUAACUUGUCAAAUUGUAAAGGUAUUUUAAACCUUUUGUCUAUUAUUGUGCAUAAAUUGUGUAUGCUUUAUUUUUAUAUUGGAGUAAGAAAGAAAAAACUGUUUUAUACUUGGAACACUGGUUAAUUUAAAUAUAUUUAAAAUGAUCAUGUCCCAUUAAUAUGUAUGUGAAGGCUAUUUCUAUGAUAUUGUAGACUUAAUUAUGUAAAGAAUUUCUUAAUAUAAUUAGAUUCGAUCAGAGGACACGCAGAGACUAAUUAAAAUCGAGUUGGAUUUCCUUUUGCCUCAGUUGUUUCUCUCUUCCCUCUCAAUAAGGACUUAUGGGACUGGGACACAACAUCUUUGCAAAGUAUACAAGACUAUACUGUAAAAUGUUAAUUACUGUUAUCUACUGCCAUCACUGAUCUAGGUCAGAGCGUGUGUGGGAGAGAGAUUUGAACUUUCAACCAUGAGAUCACAGGCAGCAUGGCGCUUCCUGUCAAGGGCUCUACUCACUCAGCUACUGCCAUAUCCAACAAGACAUCCUUAAAUGUCAUUCAUCUGAGCAAAAUGAAUUGUGCACAUCCAUAAACUUAAUCAAAAGUCCUUAAUGACGGUAUGAGUCAGAGUGCGCUGGUUAUUAUUGCAUUUAAAUGUAUGUGUCUGCUGUCCUGACAUUGUGGGUCACCUGUGACAUUGGCUUGUUGGUUUGACUUCUGCCAAGGAGUGUUCUGUGGGAAAAGUGUUUUGUCCAAUCAGACAUCUUAAAAUGUCAUCAAUCUGUACAGAAUUGUGACCAUCUGAUAAGUUAAGUAAAAAUACCUCAUGACAGUAUCAGUCAGUGUGAGCUCAUGUGGUUUAAGGCCCAGAGCAAUGAAAUGUGUCUUCUGUUCUGAGAGUGUGGGUUCUAGUCCCACUUGUGUCAAUAAUCUGUCACUUCAACUUCUGCCUGUGAUGAUGUUCUGUG